UACGUAGGGGGCAAGCGUUGUCCGGAAUCAUUGGGCGUAAAGAGCGUGUAGGCGGCCCGGUAAGUCCGCUGUGAAAGUCCAGGGCUCAACCCUGGGAUGCCGGUGGAUACUGUCGGGCUCGAGUCCGGAAGAGGAGUGUGGAAUUCCUGGUGUAGCGGUGAAAUGCGCAGAUAUCAGGAGGAACACCAAUGGCGAAGGCAGCACUCUGGGACGUGACUGACGCUGAGACGCGAAAGCGUGGGGAGCGAAACAG
rnacentral:rRNA from 1 species